rnacentral:rRNA from 1 species
GUAGGGUGCGAGCGUUAAUCGGAAUUACUGGGCGUAAAGCGUGCGCAGGCGGUUCGUUGUGUUUGCGGUGAAAGCCCCGGGCUCAACCUGGGAAUGGCCGUGAAAACUGGCGAGCUGGAGUGUGGCAGAGGGGGGUGGAAUUCCAGGUGUAGCAGUGAAAUGCGUAGAGAUCUGGAGGAACACCGAUGGCGAAGGCAGCCCCCUGGGCUGACACUGACGCUCAGGCACGAAAGCGUGGGGAGCAAACAGGAUUAGAUACCCUGGUAGUCCACGCCCUAAACGAUGGCAACUGGGUGUUGGGGGAGCGAUUCCUCAGUACCGUAGCUAACGCGUGAAGUUGCCCGCCUGGGGAGUACGGCCGCAAGGUUA